UGGGGAAUAUUGCACAAUGGGCGCAAGCCUGAUGCAGCCAUGCCGCGUGUAUGAAGAAGGCCUUCGGGUUGUAAAGUACUUUCAGUCGGGAGGAAGGUGGUAAGGUUAAUAACCUUGGCAAUUGACGUUACCGACAGAAGAAGCACCGGCUAACUCCGUGCCAGCAGCCGCGGUAAUACGGAGGGUGCAAGCGUUAAUCGGAAUUACUGGGCGUAAAGCGCACGCAGGCGGUCUGUCAAGUCGGAUGUGAAAUCCCCGGGCUCAACCUGGGAACUGCAUUCGAAACUGGCAGGCUAGAGUCUUGUAGAGGGGGGUAGAAUUCCAGGUGUAGCGAUGAAAUGCGUAGAGAUCUGGAGGAAUACCGGUGGCGAAGGCGGCCCCCUGGACAAAGACUGACGCUCAGGUGCGAAAGCGUGGGGAGCAAACAGG
rnacentral:rRNA from 1 species